AACGCCGUCUACCUUCUCUCUGCCUAGCGUCGACGACUUGAUGUCUAACCCAACUAGAAGCAUGUUUUCAGACUUAUGUGUGACCAACCUGCAACAAUCUUCUAAGUGACUUCUGCAAGGAUUUGACAGACAUACAGAAAAUUCAGGUUUGUAGGCGUAUUGGUACCGGUGGUUUUCUCUGGUUGUCACCGGCAUUCUGGUGAUGGUAGCUUCCCAUAUCUCCGCCGGAAAAGAGAGAACCGAAGGCUCGAAACCAUAAUAGUUAUGGGUUUCAUCAACGACGUCGUAGCCUCCUCUCUCUCUCUCUCUAGCAUCUCUGAUCUCUGAUUGAGUUCAUCUUGGUAAUAAACGUCUUCUCCUCUCCGUGCUCCUUCCCUCUGUGACUUUGGUUUUUGGAUUCCAUUAAGUCUUAAUCUCUUUGGAUUCUGGGUUUUCUACCUCUACAUGUUCUUUGAGGCUGAUGUCUUUAACAGCAGCGGCUCUUCAGCUUUGGUGCCUGGUUUAUACAUUGGUUGUCCUUGUGAGUGAGAAAUUAGCAAGCUUCCUGGGUCCUUGUAUCAAAUUCAUGAGCCCAUCGUCAAUUGAGAUCCAUGGAGCAAUUGAGAGCCAGAAAGGGAGAUUGAAGCCUAGGGUAUGUACACAUACUGGAGCUAGGUUGCAAUUAUACUCCUUGAAAACUCAUAGAUUAAAGGAAAAGGGAUGAUUCUAUUCUACUCUGUUCGUUGGAAUGUCUUUUGUAAAGGAGGAAGGCAAAGAGCAAUGAGGAGCUUUGCAGUGAGCUCCUGGAGUUUGUCGCCGCCGUUGAACUUCUACAAGGUCAUGUGCUCUCCAUGAAAGAGCUCUCGCAGCACGGAAGGAAUAUUGGUGGAAAUAAAGUUUCUUUGAAUGCUGUACCUCAAAAGGAAGUUAAAUCCCAUCGGAGUUUAAAGCAAAACAAGGAGCUGCAAGGCAAUUUGAAAAUAGAAACUAGGCAGAUUGUUGAUGGCAGUGUGAAGAUGCCAUAAAACCUUCCCUUGAAGCAAAAAUCAUUUGAGGGAUUAAAUCCAGGUUCAAGAUCCUUGAAGUUUCUAAAACGCCUCUCUGACUAAAGGAGCUUAUGAAAUAAAGGCACUCCCAUGGUUUAAAGGGUUAGAAUGGGACAAACUAUAUCAGAUGGAAGCUGCUUUUGUACCAGAGGUUAACAAUGAGUUAGAUACUCAAAACUUUGAGAAGUUUGAAGAGUUGGGGGCUUCAGUAGAAACUCCAUCAAAAUUUGGUCCAUGGAGAAAG